rnacentral:rRNA from 1 species
ACGGAAGGCAGCAGUGGGGAAUAUUGGGCAAUGGGCGAAAGCCUGACCCAGCGACGCCGCGUGAGGGAAGAAGGUCUUCGGAUUGUAAACCUCUUUCAGCAGGGAAGAAGCAAGUGACGGUACCUGCAGAAGAAGUCACGGCUAACUACGUGCCAGCAGCCGCGGUAAUACGUAGGUGGCGAGCGUUAUCCGGAAUUACUGGGUGUAAAGGGUGUGUAGGCGGAGGAGCAAGUCAGGCGUGAAAUUUCCGGGCUCAACCCGGAAACUGCGCUUGAAACUGUUCCCCUUGAGAGUGGGAGAGGUAAACGGAAUUCCUGGUGUAGUAGUGAAAUGCGUAGAUAUCAGGAGGAACACCGGUGGCGAAGGCGGUUUACUGGACUGUUACUGACACUGAGGCACGAAAGCGUGGGGAGCAAACAGGAUUAGAUACCCUGGUA